rnacentral:lncRNA from 10 species
CUCUAAGGACUGCUUUGGCAGAAGAGUCUCUUUGCCCUUUCACUCUCCCUUCCCAAGGGCAGCUGACACCAUGACUGGUCAAUGUAGUGGUAUACUUAGCCCCUGUAUCCCAACAAGGGGCAACUCUGAAGGGUCACCCCAGCUUGAGAACUCUGAAAAUCAAAGGCUGGUGUCUCAGGUUGUGGCCCAUUUAUGGUCUUGAAAUCAACUGAAUGUGUUAUGACCAGCGAGACAAAACGAAACAGAAUGGAACAGGGGGAAAUGUAGCAGCAUGUCAUAUUAGGUGACUGGAGUCAGGGAGAGAGCCUGUGCCUGUGCGAGGAAUGGUACAUAACCUCCGUGCUCCUUGGAAAAUCAGCAGCAGCAUUUUCAUAUCUGAAGAAUCUCUAUGCCAACUAUGUCAACCUUUUCAGAUGUGCAAAUUGCACCUAGUAGGUACAAGGGCUAGCAGAUGGCUCUAAUUUCAGAGUGCCCUUGACUACUAAAAAGAAGGCACUGAUGAGAAUUUGUCUCAGGCCAGUAUUUGGUUCUGCUACAUAUAGAAGGGAUUAGCCCUUCACUCGGAGGAUCACCAGCACAUACUCUCUGUGUGGCCCAGUCCAACUUCUGUCCUGUGGGCUGCUGCCCUGUUCUACCACCUAGUGCCCAGGCAAAACCCACAUUUUAAAAUGCAAAGGAAUAACCACUGCAUGGUAAACUUAGUGGGAAGGAAUCAUACAUACUACAGGAUCAGAUGUGCAUCCACAGGAGCAAUUUUCUGAAUUGACCAAGAAGGUAAGAGCAUCUCUGACUUUGGUCACUUUAGAAUAAGAAUGGUCUUGUUCUACCUGCCCCUGAUUAAGCCUCCAGGGAGCUUAGGAAACACAGUCUAGAAAAGACUACCUCAAAAAUGUAGACAUAUUCUACUGUGGAGGAAAAAAUGUGAACGCAGAUAUUGAUCACAUCUUGUGUUACCCCUUCUCUCCAAACUUAUCUCCAAAGGCAGAGAGGAUGGAGGCUGUCUGGAGGCUCCUCCUGGCAUAUUUAACUCCCUCCUGUCCCCCUCCUACUUGCAUAUAUGGACUUCUGCACUUAGGCGCAGGCUUCUCUGCCUGAGGUGGCCCAUUCUCAAAUGCGGGCCCCUGCAGGCCAGAAAUCUCUCCUCCCUCUCUUUACACAACCUUCUGAGUCUCAUGUGUAGUAGGUGCUCAAUAAGUGUUUGCUGAAUUGAACCCCGUUUUUCCACUGAGAGAGACUAAGGCAUAAAGGCUUCAGAUCACGCAGUUCAUGGAGCCACUGGGGCUUCUCUCCCUCACCUGGCCUGAUGUUUUCAGGCGGGGUGCGGUGGGUCAGGCCUGUAAUCCCAGAACUUUGGGAGGACGAGGUGGGCGGAUCACUUGGGCCCAGGAGUUGGAGACCAGCCUGGGCAACAUGGUGAAACUCCGUCUCCACCAAAAAUACAAAAAUUUUGCUGGGCGUGCGGGCGCACACCUGUGGUCCCAGCUACUCGGGAGGCUGAGGUGGGAGGAUCGCUUGACCCCGGGAGGCGGAGGCUGCAGUGAGCCGAGAUCCCGCCAUUACACUACAGCCUGGGCGACAGAGCAAGACCCUGUCUCAAAAAACAAACAAACAAAAAAAGUUUUCCUUAAGGAAGGGAUGGACUGGGGAGGCCUGGCUUGGGGGUCACUCCUAGGUGGCGACGCAGACCCUGAGCGCUUGCUUUGCAAGGGGACGAACUGAGCCAUCUUUUUGCUAUCAUUUAUCCGUCCCAAAUAAGCAGCUCUCAGAAAGUUUCCGUUUUGAAACUUCUCCGACACUCCUAUCCCGGGCUGGCUCCGGGCGCCAGAGCCGAGAGGAGUUACCUGCGA